rnacentral:rRNA from 1 species
UACGGGGGGGGUUAGUGUUAUUCAUCGUUACUGGGUGUAAAGCGCGCGUAGACUGUUUGGAAAGUUUCAGUUAAAACAAUCUAAGCAUAACUUGGAAAUUAAUUGUCAUACUUCCAAUCUAGAGGUUGAAAGGAGGAAGCUAUACUUCUCAGAGAAAAGUGAAAUUUGUCCGAACUGAGGGGGAUAACCAGCGGGCGAAAGCGGCUUCCUAUUACAAUGCUGACGUUUUGGCGCAAAAGCUUGGGGAUCAAACGGG